AUUGAACCCUGGCGGCAUGCUUUACACAUGCAAGUCGAACGGUAACAGGCCUUCGGGUGCUGACGAGUGGCGAACGGGUGAGUAAUGCAUCGGAACGUACCCAGAGGUGGGGGAUAACGCAGCGAAAGCUGUGCUAAUACCGCAUGUGAUCUGAGGAUGAAAGCGGGGGACCGAGCAGCAAUGUUUGGCCUCGCGCCUUUGGAGCGGCCGAUGUCGGAUUAGCUAGUUGGUGGGGUAAAGGCCUACCAAGGCGACGAUCCGUAGCUGGUCUGAGAGGACGACCAGCCACACUGGGACUGAGACACGGCCCAGACUCCUACGGGAGGCAGCAGUGGGGAAUUUUGGACAAUGGGCGCAAGCCUGAUCCAGCAAUGCCGCGUGCGGGAAGAAGGCCUUCGGGUUGUAAACCGCUUUUGGCAGGAACGAAACGGUGUCCGCUAAUACCGGGCGCUAAUGACGGUACCUGCAGAAUAAGCACCGGCUAACUACGUG
rnacentral:rRNA from 1 species